UCUAUCUGGAAUAGCAGCUGUAGAGUUACUAUCAGACCAAACUUGUAAUAAUCCACUCUUUUUACUCUAGAUCCAUCUGAGUUUUGUGCUGGAUAAACUAGAGGUGUGGUAAGAUUCACCACCGAUAGAAGGACCUAUUAGUUAUUUCCUGAUAUCUGCGGUUCUCUUAUUCCAUAAGGACAGAACUCUUGUUUGCGACUCGGAACAUGGCCACACUGCCUUACAGCUGAGAGUGGCCAUGUGACUAAAUUCUGACUAAUGGACUGUAAGUGGACGUUUAAGGGUGUUGCUGUAGGAGGUCUUCUGCUGCCCUUUUUGAUUCUCGCUGCCUGCAGUGCGAAUGUCACCGCUGCACUCCUAAAGCCGCAGAGUCGCGGGAGUGAUGGCAGCGUCUUGGAGGUCAGCACAGAUGAUGGCAGCAGAAGUGCCAUGCUUAGGAAGGCCCUUAAAGGAUUUGCUGAUGCUCCGCCAUAAUCUACUUUACUGAGUCUACUAAAAUUCGAGGGCUGAUCUCACCCAGAUGAAAAUGUUUAAAAUGGGCACACCAGGGCUUAACUGACGUCAUGCUGGGAGACACGUUCUGCAGGUGGAAUGUUCAAGGAGGGAAGCAGAGAGGAGUUGAGGACUGGACCUUUGUGAUGGGUUUGUCCACUCAGCAGACCACAGCUCAAAAGUUACUCCACCCGAGAUUCCCUCCCAGGCCACCAUGCUGUGAAGAAGCAUAAGAUGAAAGGCCAUGUGGAGAGAGAAACCAGACCACACCACCUCCUCCAGCCAGCCCAGCUCAAGCCUCUGAGGGCAGUGAGGCCACUGGGACACCCAGGGCCCCCCAGGCCCCCAGCUGUCUGUAAGCAUGCAAGGGAGCCCAAGGGAGGCCACAAAAC